rnacentral:lncRNA from 1 species
CCCCGCCGUCUCCGCAGCCGCCUCCGCCGCCCGGGCGCUGCCUGGAGCCAGUGUGCGGGCUGGAGUGCAGUGGCGCAAUCUUAGCCCACCGCAACCUCUGCCUCCCGGGUUCAAGCAAUUCUCCUGCCUCAGCCUUCCGAGUAGCUGGGAUUACAGGGUCUUGCUCUGUCACCUAGGCUGGAGUGCAGUGGUGUGAUCACAGCUCACUGGAGCCUCGACCUCCUGGGAUCAAGCGAUUCUCUCACCUCAACCUUUGAACUUCUAGAUAAGUGGUUCUCAAAGUGUGGUCCUUCAACCAACAGCAUCAUCACCACCCAGGAACUUAUUAGAAAUGGAAGUUCUUGCACCCUGCCAAAACCAGAAACUGCGGAUGGGUCCCAGCAAUCUUUAUUUUAACGACUGUUAAAAUCAGAAUCAAGUGAUUCUGAUGCAAACUUAAGUUUGAAAACAUUGUUCUAUUAAAAGUAAUGGCAAAAACCGCAAUUACUUUUGCACCAACCUAAGAGCUCUGCACUGUUCAAUAUGGUAGCUUCUAACUAUUGAAUUUUUUAAUGCUAUUAUCUCCUUUAUUCAAAAAUAAAUAUUUCACUUUGAUUCAACAUAUUUCAAAUUACAUUAAGCACAGAGAGGAAAUACAUUCCCUUUGGAGAUUGUGAACACGUGUUGGAAAGAGGCAUGAUCCAAAUAAUGGGGAUGAGGUGAGUGUGGAUUCCAGCUGCUUCCUGACCCAGAAGUUCUGCCCCUCUUCAGGUGGAGCUACUUAUCGAUUUUUAGGCGAGAAAAAGACAGACACACACACACACACACACACACACACUGCUUUGAAGUCUGAAAGGCAUAUGAGUGGACCGUAAGGUAUAUGGCACGUUCACUGAUAAAACAUCCCCUACUCCCUCCCAAGAAAAGCAGAGACACUUUAAUCAAGUCAAAGGCCAGAGAAGGGCCUGGUGCAGUGGCUCACGCCUGUAUCCCAGCACUUUGGGAGGCCAAGGCGGGUGAAUCCCGAGGUCAGGAGUUCGAGACCAGC